UACGAGGAUCCAAGCGUUAUCCGGAUUUAUUGGGUUUAAAGGGUGCGUAGGCGGCUUUUUAAGUCAGGGGUGAAAGACGGUGGCUCAACCAUCGCAGUGCCUUUGAUACUGAAGAGCUUGAUUAAACUUGAGGUAGGCGGAAUGUGACAAGUAGCGGUGAAAUGCAUAGAUAUGUCACAGAACACCGAUUGCGAAGGCAGCUUACUAAGGUUUCAAUGACGCUGAGGCACGAAAGCGUGGGGAUCAAACAGG
rnacentral:rRNA from 1 species